rnacentral:ncRNA from 1 species
UACGACGCAAGGCUGAAACUGAAAGGAAUUGACGGAAGGGCACACCAGGGGUGGAGCCUGUGGCUUAAUUUGAAUCAACACGGGAAAACUUACCAGGACCAGAUGUUUUUUAUGACUGACAGGCUUCGGGUCUUUCAGGAUAUUGUUUUUGGUGGUGCAUGGCCGUUGGUGGUGCGUGGGUUGACCUGUCUAGCGUUGAUUCAGCUAACGAGCGAGAUUAUCGCCAAUUAUUUACUUUGCCGAAGUCCUUCGGUUAAAGUUCUAAUUGGGACUCCCUGCGAUUUUAGCAGGUGGAAGAGGGUAGCAAUAACAGGUCCGUGAUGCCCUUUAGAUGCUCUGGGCUGCACGCGUGCUACAAUGUUAGGAUCAAUAGGACUGCGAGCCUGAGAGGGUGCGCUACUCUUAUAAUCCCUAACGUAGUUGGGAUUGACGUUUGUAAUCAGCGUCAUGAACCAGGAAUCCCUUGUAAAUGUGUGUCAACAACGCACGUUGAAUACGUCCCUGCCCUUUGUACACACCGCCCGUCGCUCCUACCGAUUGGAUGACUCGGUGAAAUCACCGGAUGCUUACGAGCAGAAAGUGAUUAAAUCACGUUAUCUAGAGGAAGGAGAAGUCGUAACAAGGUAACGGUAGGUGAACCUGCCGUUGGAUCAGUU